rnacentral:rRNA from 1 species
CGGCGGAUGGGUGAGCACACGAGCGUGACCUGUUGAUAGGACUGGGAUAACUUCAGACUGGCUGAUAUAAUACGAGAUAAUUCUUUUCCUCUCAGGAAGAAAAGCUGAACUACGGUUCUUGCUGUCGAUUAUAGAUGGACCCCCGAUUCAUUAGCUGGUGGGGGAAGUAACUGCUCACCCAAGCAACCAUGCGUGGCCGACCAGAUGGGUGAUCGGCUGGGACUGACUGAGCCCGGACUCCACUCCUACGGGAGGCCGGGAAUUUUAUCUUCGGACUGGACCUGAUGGUAGGGACCGCGUGACGGAUGAGACUCUCCUUUCGGGUCCUCUUUUCUGUUGUUAGAUCAAGAACAAGUACCUGAGGAACUGCUCGUACCUUGACGGUACCUAACCAGAAAGCCACUAAUAACAUCGUGCCA